rnacentral:rRNA from 1 species
UACGGAGGGAGCUAGCGUUGUUCGGAAUUACUGGGCGUAAAGCGCACGUAGGCGGAUCUUUAAGUCAGGGGUGAAAUCCUGGAGCUCAACUCCAGAACUGCCUUUGAUACUGGGGAUCUCGAGUCCGGAAGAGGUGAGUGGAACUCCGAGUGUAGAGGUGAAAUUCGUAGAUAUUCGGAGGAACACCAGUGGCGAAGGCGGCUUACUGGUCCAUUACUGACGCUGAGGUGCGAAAGCGUGGGGAGCAAACAGG